rnacentral:rRNA from 1 species
AGAGUUUGAUCCUGGCUCAGAUUGAACGCUAGCGGGAUGCUUUACACAUGCAAGUCGAACGGCAGCGCGAGAGAGCUUGCUCUCUUGGCGGCGAGUGGCGGACGGAGGAGUAAUAUAUCGGAACGUGCCCAGUAGCGGGGGAUAACUACUCGAAAGAGUGGCUAAUACCGCAUACGCCCUACGGGGGAAAGGACGGUAUCGCAAGACCUCUCACUAUUGGAGCGGCCGAUAUCGGAUUAGCUAGUUGGUGGGGUAAAGGCUCACCAAGGCAACGAUCCGUAGCUGGUUUGAGAGGACGACCAGCCACACUGGGACUGAGACACGGCCCAGACUCCUACGGGAGGCAGCAGUGGGGAAUUUUGGACAAUGGGGGAAACCCUGAUCCAGCCAUCCCGCGUGUAUGAUGAAGGCCUUCGGGUUGUAAAGUACUUUAGGCAGAGAAGAAAAGGUAUCCCCUAAUACGGGAUACUGCUGACGUAUCUGCAGAAUAAGCACCGGCUAACUACGUGCCAGCAGCCGCGGUAAUACGUAGGGUGCAAGCGUUAAUCGGAAUUACUGGGCGUAAAGCGUGUGUAGGCGGUUCGGAAAGAAAGAUGUGAAAUCCCAGGGCUCAACCUUGGAACUGCAUUUUUAACUGCCGAGCUAGAGUAUGUCAGAGGGGGGUAGAACUCCACGUGUAGCAGUGAAAUGCGUAGAUAUGUGGAGGAAUACCGAUGGCGAAGGCAGCCCCCCUGGGAUAAUACUGACGCUCAGACACGAAAGCGUGGGGAGCAAACAGGAUUAGAUACCCUGGUAGUCCACGCCCUAAACGAUGUCAACUAGCUGUUGGGGCCGUUAGACCUUAGUAGCGCAGCUAACGCGUGAAGUUGACCGCCUGGGGAGUACGGUCGGCAAGAUUAAAACUCAAAGGAAUUGACGGGGACCCGCACAAGGCGGUGGAUGAUGUGGAUUAAUUCGAUGCAACGCGAAAAACCUUACCUACCCUUGACAUGUCUGGAAAGCCGAAGAGAUUUGGCCGUGCUCGCAAGAGAACCGGAACACAGGUGCUUGCAUGGCUGUCGUCAGCUCGUGUCGUGAGAUGUUGGGUUAAGUCCCGCAACGAGCGCAACCCUUGUCAUUAGUUGCUACGCAAGAGCACUCUAAUGAGACUGCCGGUGACAAACCGGAGGAAGGUGGGGAUGACGUCAAGUCCUCAUGGCCCUUAUGGGUAGGGCUUCACACGUCAUACAAUGGUCGGGACAGAGGGUCGCCAACCCGCGAGGGGGAGCCAAUCUCAGAAACCCGAUCGUAGUCCGGAUCGCAGUCUGCAACUCGACUGCGUGAAGUCGGAAUCGCUAGUAAUCGCGGAUCAGAAUGUCGCGGUGAAUACGUUCCCGGGUCUUGUACACACCGCCCGUCACACCAUGGGAGUGGGUUUCACCAGAAGUAGGUAGCCUAACCGCAAGGAGGGCGCUUACCACGGUGGGAUUCAUGACUGGGGUGAAGUCGUAACAAGGUAGCCGUA